rnacentral:sRNA from 1 species
CCCGCCAAGCCUCUCAACGAUGCUCAAAUGGCGGG